rnacentral:SRP_RNA from 13 species
GCUGGGCAUGGUGGCACAUUCCUGUAGUCCCAGCUACUCGGGAGGCUGAGGCAGGAGAAUUGCCUGAACCCAGGAGGCGGAGGUUGCGGUGAGCCGAGAUUGUGCCAUUGCACUCCAGCCUGGGUAACAAGAGCAAAACUCCGACUCAAAAAAAAAAAAAAAAAAAAAAAACAGAUGGAGUUUCGCUCUUGUUACCCAGACUGGAGUGCAAUGGCUCGAUCUCGGCUCACCGCAACCUCCGCCUCCUGGGUUCAGGCAAUUCUCCUGCCUCAG